GCCUGGAUGGCUCAGUGGUUGAGCGUCUGCCUUUGGCUCAGGGCGUGAUCCUGGAGUCCUGGGAUCGAGUCCCACAUCAGGCU
rnacentral:tRNA from 1 species